rnacentral:misc_RNA from 1 species
AACAUCGCGCACCUGCGGGAACCUGCGGAAGGAUCAUUACUGAGUCACGUGCUCAAACAACCCUUCUGUGGACCUGAAAUAAAACCGUUGCCUCGGCGGGCGGUCCCCCCCAAACCAACCCCACGUGGUGGGUUAGGGGAGACCAGACAGUCCGGUACGCUUAAGGCGUCCGGCGCCAGCCGCUGGCCCCAAACAAUUAAACUCUAGUAAUCUUUACCUUCUGAGUUUCAAUAUUUAAAA